GGUCUCACCCUGAAACAGCAGGCUGCUAGAGACACCAGCUCCUAGAAGAGAAAAUCACAGUCUUGGGAACAAUUCCUUCAGCUUCUCUCCUUCCUUCUCACACGCCAAGGAACAAUGAAAGUGACCACCCCCAGCUUCCAAGAUGGAUGAUCAGCCAACCUGCACCUCAUGUGCUGCGCUGUCCACAGCUGCGAUGAGCUAACUCCUUGAGCACAAAGGACCGUCACCUAAUCCAGAACUACUGUGAGGAUCACAGUAAUGGACAGGAGAAGGAAAGGACGACAGAAUCCAUUCCAGAGGAGUAGUCUUCAUGCAGAGUGGCUUUGGACAGCUUUGGAAGAAGGAGAUUGUCUUUUCCAUUGUCCUUGGCAUUUGGCAACAGCUCUUUCAUUUAGUAAAAUAAGCAUGAGGAGAUGGUGGCUGGAAAAUGAAAUCAUCUAAAUUAAGGCUAUAGCUGAUAUGUUGUUUUGCAGAGGGAGAGCAGCCACUCCUGGAGCACCUCACCAGGGCUCCUGGAGCAGCUCUCACCACUGGUGCAGCAGUUUGUCUGGAAGCUGGACUUCAUGGUAAUGGCCUCUGAGCAGGUCUCUCUUCUGCAGGGAGUCAUACAAUAUGAUCUGCCCGUAUCUCCACCGGGUAGUAUUAGUAAAGCCUCCACCAGACAGAUCUUGAUGAUUUCCUUCCAGUUCUGAUUGCUCCAUUUCUGAUUGCGCUCCAUCUGAGGAGACACCUGGAAAAUUAGCUCUACAGUGCAGGUUUUCAAAUCUGCCUCCAUAGAAAUCCUACUAAUUACUAAGAAAAUUGUCUCAAAUCAUAGAAUCAUAGAAUCAUAGAAUGUCUCAGGUUGGAAAAGGCCUUAAAGAUCAUCAAGUCCAACCACAACCUGACCAAAAUACCCAAUAUAGUUCUUUGUCACGUUUGUAUUUCUCAGCAUUUAUGUUUAAUGCUAUCCAGUCUGUAAAGGUCAGAGUUUCACUACUAAGUUCUUCCUCCUCCAGCAUCACUGACUGGUAAAAAAACUGAACUGCUAGAGAAACUUUCAGUUUACCUUUCGACUUACCUUUCCUUCCCUUUAUUUACCACCUAUAAGGAGCUAUUCCAGAAAAUGUGUUACUUAUUACAAUAAAAAAGGAAGCAAGACAUUGCUGCAAUUUAAUGGUGGCCAAUAAGGAAUGGGGCUGUUCUGAUGCAUUCUCAGUACAUUAGUACUCUACUUAACCUUUAGAAAGAGCUAGUUAUUUUCAAUUAUGCAUUGCAAAUAGCAUUAGUCUGCAGGUCUGGACUAAUGAUUUGCCUACCAAGGAUCCACAAAGGGAUCUAUACUCUUGCUCUCAAUCCCGAUGCAGUACAUUAAGCACUGAAUUACUUCCUUACGGUUGUUUGCCCACCAUUAACUUUUCAUUCAUGGUGAUCAUCUCCUUGCAAUAGAAAAUGUGGAGAAAAGAAAACCAGUUUCCUAUCAGCACAGUAGGCAGGCAUGACUUCCAGAGUUUUCAUCAGUGUUUUAUGUCUUGCAAAGCAUAGACACAGCUGCUACAAGCUGGUUUUGUCAGAACAUACUGCACAAAAUUAACAAGAAGAGACUCAAGACUCUGGGUGGAUGCUUUCAGAACUGGGUGGAUGUUUUCAGAACUGAAUUUGAAAGGAAGAUAUCUUAAUAUAUAUGCAUAUGUGGGUAUCUACACGUUCCUGAUUUUCUAAUACAAUCAAUAAAUAUUUCUGCAAGAGAGUCACGACAGACAAGUUUUCUGCAAUAUUUUGCUGACAUAAAUAUCUUGACAAAG